UCCGGCAUAGCUCAACAGGCAGAGCAGGUGGCUGUUAACCACCGGGUUGCAGGUUCGAGUCCUGCUGCCGGAGCCA
rnacentral:tRNA from 1 species